rnacentral:rRNA from 2 species
UUUCUAUGGAGAGUUUGAUCCUGGCUCAGGACGAACGCUGGCGGCGUGCCUAAUACAUGCAAGUCGAGCGGAGUUUUGAAAAGCUUGCUUUUCAAAACUUAGCGGCGGACGGGUGAGUAACACGUGGGCAACCUGCCCUUGAGACGGGGAUAACUCCGGGAAACCGGAGCUAAUACCGGAUAACACAUAUCUUCGCAUGAGGAUAUGUUAGAAGGUGGCUUUUAGCUACCACUCAAGGAUGGGCCCGCGGCGCAUUAGCUAGUUGGUGAGGUAACGGCUCACCAAGGCGACGAUGCGUAGCCGACCUGAG